CUUUCUGUGGCUCAGUUGGUUGAGCAUUGCGCUAAUGACUCAAAGGUUGUGGGUUCAAAUCCCAGGGAAAGC